CCUACGGGUGGCAGCAGUGAGGAAUAUUGGUCAAUGGCCGCGAGGCUGAACCAGCCAAGUCGCGUGAAGGAAGACUGCCCUACGGGUUGUAAACCUCUUUUAUAGAGGAAUAAAGCGAGUCACGUGUGCCUCUUUGAAUGUACCCUAUGAAUAAGGAUCGGCUAACUCCGUGCCAGCAACCGCGGUAAUACGGAGGAUCCGAGCGUUAUCCGGAUUUAUUGGGUUUAAAGGGAGCGUAGGGGGGUGGUCAAGUCAGCUGUUAAAAUUUGGGGCUCAACCGCAGAAUUGCAGUUGAAACUGGAAGCCUUGAGUGCAGGAGAGGUAGGCGGAAUGCGUGGUGUAGCGGUGAAAUGCAUAGAUAUCACGAAGAACUCCGAUUGCGAAGGCAGCAUAC
rnacentral:rRNA from 1 species